CGGGUGAGUAACGCGUAAGGCAACCUGCCCUCCGCCGGGGGACAACACUCCAAAGGGGUGCUAAUACCGGAUACGAAGUCUGUGCCGCAUGGUACGGAUUUGAAAGAUUGGCCUCUAUUUAUAAGCUAUCGCCGGGGGAUGGGCCUGCGUCCGAUUAGCUGGUUGGUGGGUAACGGCCUACCAAGGCGACGAUCGGUAGCCGGUCUGAGAGGAUGAACGGCCACAUUGGGACUGAGACACGGCCCAGACUCCUACGGGAGGCAGCAGUGGGGAAUCUUCCGCAAUGGGCGCAAGCCUGACGGAGCAACGCCGCGUUGAGUGAGGAAGUUCUUCGGAACGUAAAGCUCUGUUGUUCCUGACGAACCUCCCUUCUAUCAACAACGGAAGGGACUGACGGUAGGGAACGAGGAAGCCACGGCUAACUACGUGCCAGCCGCAGC
rnacentral:rRNA from 1 species